GAUGUAGCUCAGUAGUAGAGCAGUUGCCUAGUAGGUGCAAAGCCCUGGGUUUAAUCCCCAGCAUC
rnacentral:tRNA from 1 species